rnacentral:lncRNA from 1 species
UCCUGGCAGUAUUUUUUUCAGACUCUCGCAUUCCUAACUAAAGUAAUUAAUCUCUGGUUGUGUGCGGGUGAAUAGAACUAGUUUUUUAAAACUGCCAAAAAGCAAAUAAACACUUUCCUGUCUGUUAAGGUUUUGGCUGAAACAUGGGAACUCCAUUUGGCUUAUAGAGAGAAAUGUUUUUUAAAUUUAAUAUUCACUGAAUAUUUUUACAAAAUACCCCCAAAUGUAGUUUUCAGCUAUGUGCGUCAUAACAAGAAAAAUAAAAACAAAAAAUAAAAACAAAUCCACUUUCCUUGGAAAAGAAGCCCCACGUGCUCUCCUAGGCUGGUGGGAGGCUUGGAUCCUGCCAGCUCUUCAGAAGCCCCCAUGUACAUCUGCAGCCUGUGUUUUGCCAUGUAGACCUCCACUGACAGACAACUUUUAAAGUCACUCAAGUCAAGAGAGCUGGCUAAGAACAUUUACCAUGUCUCAUUUUACUGGUGAAGUAGCAGAGGCCAACGGGUCUAACGAGACCUAACCAGGGCCACUUUCCUCUGGGUCCCUCAGCUUCCUGAAUAGAGACUACUCACCUCUCAGAAUAUGAAAGUAAGCCUAUUACAGACGGUGCUGGAAGUUAGUCUCUUCUUAGCAAUAUCUCUCCAGUAUAUGUAUGGAAUGGUUUCUUGUCCUAACAGAUGCGUGGGAGUAGAACCUCGAGCUGGGUGGAAACAGAACAGGGUCAGCUGCCUUGGUUUGAUGUUCUAGAAAGCUGUCACCAAGAUGGCUGCAGUAAGAUGACUGUGUGAGAGGUAUCUUUCUUUCAAUAGAUGUUUUUGAGUACUCAAGCACAGACUGAGCAUCCUCUAGACAGGAAAGCAUCAGAGAUGCAUGCAACUCUCUGCAGCCCCUGCUUGAUAGGAAGCCUAGUAGACAUUUUAUCUUCUAGGGAGGGUUUUGUUGGUGAUGGUGUUGUUGGUGUUGCUGUUUGUUUUUGUUUUUGAACUGAUAGUCAGACUUGAAGAAUAAGGGGUCCAUUUUCAAAGAAACAAUGCUGUGAGCUACUUAAACUUACAUUGACUGACAUGAAUCUUCAGAGACUUAGGAGAAGAAUAUUGCCUCAACCCCUCAGUUGGUUAUUUGAAAAUUCUCAAGGUGUACACUGUUCAAGAGAUCUCAUUUUAUGUCUGGCUUGUGUAUUAAGUAUCUUCUUGAAAUAAAUACCAUCAGUUGGGCCAGUCCCCCUGAGCCUGCGGUUCCUUUCGAGCAGCAGGUUUCCUAAGUAUGGAAUUUCAGCGAAGCAUAUCAUGUGUCGGAUGUAAUUGUUAAGUCUGUGAGACUGAUUUAACAUCACUGUCUUUAUUUUCUCCCACUGAAGAAAAUAAAGCAGUAUGGGGAAUUUAUGACCCGUUGUGCAGUCAAGUCAGGAUCCAAAAGAGAAUUUAGAGGCACAAAGUUCCAGGGCUUAAGUGAUGCUUUAUUAAGAAUCUCCUUGUCCUGCUUGGUCACCUACACCUACCCCAGAGUUCCAGGAGAGGGUGGGCUGGACCAUACAUGACUGAAGGGGCAGCGAGUAUAGCUAAACCCAAUCCCUGGGGACCUAGUUUUGGGUUUGCUGAUGAGGAGUUAGGGUUCCCCUCUGGAUUUGCCUCUUUGCCAGGCCACCUUCAUUAGUAGAAUCACUCUUUAUAUUCUAUUUGGUCUGUGGGGAAUGGAGAAAUUCUAGCAAGGGGUAGGUGGUCCCUUUUGGCACUUUAGGAAAAUUGUGGGUUUCUUUUCCAAUGUAGAAGGACCAGUUUGCAGAAGAGAUUUGUCAGGGAGCCCGAUUUUGUAUUCUUCAACUAUGAAUUCUGGCAGCCCAACUUGUUAUGGCUCAGUGUUUGAUGUCACUCCCUCUUGUAUUUCCUUCUAAUCAUUAACGAAAAAUGAUGAAAGGAUAACAGGAGCACCUGGCCUAUUGGUGAGCAUAAACACACUGAUCAGAGUGCAAAAUGGAAACACAGCAAUCCCUCCGAGGCAGCCAGAGCCUUUCUCCCACUCGAUGGGGAUUUUUUUCUCUUUUUAUCUCUCUCUAUCUCUCUGUCCCUCUCCCCCCUCCAUGUGUCUAUGUCUCUAUGUCUAUCUUUCCAUUAUUUUUAAGUGUGACUAGUAAGAAGGCAGGCAUAAAACAUGACUACAAACCCUGGGCUUUGUCUCCUGUGGUAACUGGGCAGGGGAGUACUAUGCACUUCAUAGCAAAUGCUGGCUCUGUUACUACCUAAAGCAGCACGAUUCCAUAGCUCAGGGAGCAUUUAUAACAUUUUUUUUGGUUUUAUUAUCUGUAAUAUUCUAUUAUCUCUUCAUCUAGCUAUAUGGCAGGCUCCUCUGGAGCCCUUAGUAAUGCAGUACUGAUACCCUAGACACAUACAUUUUGGGGAAAGGUGGAUAGCUAAACCAAGAGAAAGAAAGCUAAACCAAGAGAAAGAAAGCUAAACCAAGAGAAAGAAAGCUAAACCAAGAGAAAGAAAGCUAAACAAAGUG